UUAACUAUUAAAAUAUAGUACUCAGACGACACUAAUAAUUCAGAGUUUGUUUGGUCUCCGGCAGGCGACUCUCAGGCCCGAGGGCGCCGAGGCUGUCCCCCGAGGGGUCCAGCAGCCUGCCAAAGCAACGUGGUAUAGAUAUACAAGGGUGGGAGGUCUACCCAUGAGGGCAUGAACUCUGUAAUGAUCCUUCCGCAGGUUCACCUACGGAAA
rnacentral:misc_RNA from 1 species